GAUGAACGCUGGCGGCGUGCCUAAUACAUGCAAGUCGAGCGAACAGAUGAGGAGCUUGCUCCUCUGACGUUAGCGGCGGACGGGAGAGUAACACGUGGAUAACCUACCUAUAAGACUGGGAUAACUUCGGGAAACCGGAGCUAAUACCGGAUAAUAUAUUGAACCGCAUGGUUCAAUAGUGAAAGACGGUUUUGCUGUCACUUAUAGAUGGAUCCGCGCCGCAUUAGCUAGUUGGUAAGGUAACGGCUUACCAAGGCAACGAUGCGUAGCCGACCUGAGAGGGUGAUCCGCCACACUGGAACUGAGACACGGCCCAGACUCCUACGGGAGGCAGCAGUAGGGAAUCUUCCGCGAUGGGCGAAAGCCUGACGGAGCAACGCCGCGUGAGUGAUGAAGGUCUUCGGAUCGUAAAACUCUGUUAUUAGGGAAGAACAAAUGUGUAAGUAACUAUGCACGUCUUGACGGUACCUAAUCAGAAAGCCACGGCUAACUACGUG
rnacentral:rRNA from 1 species